GUGGUGUAGUGGUCAAUCAUGCGAGGCUCUGGACCUCGCGACCCAGGUUCGAAUCCUGGCGGGGCUA
rnacentral:tRNA from 1 species